rnacentral:ncRNA from 1 species
UUAUUUGUGAUGACGGGGUAAAGUAAACGGAACGGUCUUUUCAGGGAGGCGGCGUCAUAGACUGAAAGCGCUGCUAAAGUAUCAACCGUCGAAGGUUCACCCCUGAGCUACCAGACUGAAACCCCAGGGAAAGUAGGUUUGGUCGGAGACUUCCACCGUUAAAAGGAAGGGGGUAUAAGGAAUAGAUAUUGAAAAAUAUUAUUAUUCCCGUACUUUCAAUGAGGAGGGGUCUUUUAUAGGCCCAAUCUGGGUGGUACCGCGAAAAAACACUUUUCGUCCCUUGA